UGCGGGGGGGAGCAAGCGUUGUUCGGAUUUACUGGGCGUAAAGGGCGCGUAGGCGGCCAGCACAAGUCAGUUGUGAAAUCUCCGAGCUUAACUCGGAAAGGUCAACUGAUACUGUGCGGCUAGAGUGCGGAAGGGGCAACUGGAAUUCUUGGUGUAGCGGUGAAAUGCGUAGAUAUCAAGAGGAACACCUGCGGCGAAGGCGGGUUGCUGGGCCGACACUGACGCUGAGGCGCGAAAGCUAGGGGAGCGAACGGG
rnacentral:rRNA from 1 species